rnacentral:rRNA from 1 species
UAGUCCACACUGUAAACGAUGGAUACUAGGUGUUUGGGAAGUUAACCUCCUGAGUACUACAGCUAACGCGUUAAGUAUCCCGCCUGGGGAGUACAGUCGCAAGGCCGAAACUCAAAGGAAUUGACGGGGGCCCGCACAAGCGGUGGAGUAUGUGGUUUAAUUCGAAGCAACGCGCAGAACCUUACCUACCCUUAACAUUCAGUGACCGCUGCAGAGAUGUAGUUUUCCCUUCGGGGACACUGGGAUAGGUGCUGCAUGGCUGUCGUCAGCUCGUGUCGUAAGAUGUCUGGUUAAGUCCAAUAACGAGCGCAACCCUUAUUCUCAGUUACCAUCAUUAAGUUGGGGACUCUGGGGAGACUGCCGAUGUUAAAUCGGAGGAAGGCGGGGAUGACGUCAAGUCCUCAUGGCCCUUACGGGUAGGGCUACACACGUACUACAAUGGUAGAGACAAACCGUUGCGAAGCCGUGAGGCGGAGCUAAUCGGUAAAACACUACCUCAGUUCAGAUUGGAGUCUGCAACUCGACU